UAUUUGGUGUAGCAUUUCUGCAUAGACUGGAUUAUGGAAACCUGUAUAGAAAUGCUUCUGCUGUAUA
rnacentral:pre_miRNA from 8 species